UACGUAGGUGACAAGCGUUGUCCGGAUUUACUGGGCGUAAAGAGCGCGCAGGCGGUCGAUCAAGUCGAGUGUGAAAGCCCCCGGCUCAACUGGGGAGGGUCAUUCGAUACUGAUCGACUCGAAGGCAGGAGAGGGUAGUGGAAUUCCCGGUGUAGUGGUGAAAUGCGUAGAUAUCAGGAGGAACACCGGUGGCGAAGGCGGGACUCUGGGCCGAUACUGACGCUGAGGAGCGAAAGCGUGGGGAGCAAACAGG
rnacentral:rRNA from 1 species